CAACCUGCCCUUCAGAGGGGGACGACAGUUGGAAACGACUGCUAAUACCGCAUACGAUCUAACCUUGGCAUCGAGGAUGGAUGAAAGGUGGCCUCUAUUUAUAAGCUAUCACUGAAGGAGGGGAUUGCGUCUGAUUAGCUAGUUGGAGGGGUAACGGCCCACCAAGGCGAUGAUCAGUAGCCGGUCUGAGAGGAUGAACGGCCACAUUGGGACUGAGACACGGCCCAGACUCCUACGGGAGGCAGCAUG
rnacentral:rRNA from 1 species